ensembl:lncRNA
UGCUCUUUGGGUUACAGAUCUUCUAGGAGAGGCGGGAAAAAGCUGGAGGUGGAGCAUGAAUGUGGUCACUUGGGUAGAGAAGGAUUUUUCCAACUGACUUAUAUGUCUACUGAAGUGCAAGUGCCGUCCAUAGAUGAACGUGUGGAGGGAAGGAGCAGUCUUGGAAACACCUCCUAAUUAACCAAGGAAACAAGAGAUUUCUUGAGAAGAGACGGCAAGAGAGAGGCUGGAGCUACACGUCCCUGUGGAGGGCUUGGGGACAGCUGGUGCUUGUGGGCACACGGCCAAGGAACCCCAGCACUGGAGCUUGGGUUUCUCGGAGCAAAAGGAAACGUGACAUGUGGGUCUUGGCCUGCACUCCAAUCUGUUUACCCCAUGCUGGCCCACAGGAGAGAGGAUUUUUUUUUUCCUCGGGAAACACUAACUGAGAUCAAGAAAGAAGUUAAUAAGCCAAAUGGAGACUGUCUCACUUCGCUGUGCUGCCUGGCUCCCUUCCAGCCUGGGCUGGUAUUGAAAUUACCCACUGUGACUCCAGAAAGCAGGAACAAAGAGCCCUGCACACCAGCUUUCCUAGCAGCCUUUGUUUCGUAUUUGUGCCUGUAUCAGCCCAAAACAUGAGCUGGGCAGCAGCACACUCAGCUGCAAUGUCCUGUGUGGGAAACUCACUGUCCAGCUCCCCGUGGGUGCUGCAAAACCAGCUUUGCCUCCAAACCAGCAACUCCAGGAGCACAAAUUCUGUCCAAAUCAGAUUGGAGCAUGUCGGUCAGCUCAAAUGCAGGAUGUUUAUUUUAGAAUCAAUAGAAUCACAGAAUUGUUUCAAUUGGAAGGGACCUUACAGGCCAUCUGGUCCCACUCCCUGCAGUGCACAGGGACACCCACAGCUCCAUCAGUGCUCAGAGCCCCAUCUAGCCUGACCUUGGCUGCCUGCAGGGAUGGGGCACCACCAC